rnacentral:rRNA from 1 species
AGUCGAACGGCAGCACGGACUUCGGUCUGGUGGCGAGUGGCGAACGGGUGAGUAAUGUAUCGGAACGUGCCCAGUAGCGGGGGAUAACUACGCGAAAGCGUAGCUAAUACCGCAUACGCCCUUAGGGGGAAAGCAGGGGAUCGCAAGACCUUGCACUAUUGGAGCGGCCGAUAUCGGAUUAGCUAGUUGGUGAGGUAAUGGCUCACCAAGGCCGCGAUCCGUAGCUGGUUUGAGAGGACGACCAGCCACACUGGGACUGAGACACGGCCCAGACUCCUACGGGAGGCAGCAGUGGGGAAUUUUGGACAAUGGGGGAAACCCUGAUCCAGCCAUCCCGCGUGUGCGAUGAAGGCCUUCGGGUUGUAAAGCACUUUUGGCAGGAAAGAAACGGCGCGUGCUAAUACCAUGCGCAACUGACGGUACCUGCAGAAUAAGCACCGGCUAACUACGUGCCAGCAGCCGCGGUAAUACGUAGGGUGCAAGCGUUAAUCGGAAUUACUGGGCGUAAAGCGUGCGCAGGCGGUUCGGAAAGAAAGAUGUGAAAUCCCAGGGCUCAACCUUGGAAACUGCAUUUUUAACUACCGGGACUAGAGUAUGUCAGAGGGAGGUGGAAAUUCCACGUGUAGCAGUGAAAAUGCGUAGAUAUGUGGAGGAACACCCGAUGGCGAAGGGCAGCCUCCUGGGGAUAAAUACUGACGCUCAUGCACGAAAAGCGUGGGGGGAGC